CUCGUAGGCGGUUCGUCGCGUCCGGUGUGAAAGUCCAUCGCUUAACGGUGGAUCCGCGCCGGGUACGGGCGGGCUUGAGUGCGGUAGGGGAGACUGGAAUUCCCGGUGUAACGGUGGAAUGUGUAGAUAUCGGGAAGAACACCGAUGGCGAAGGCAGGUCUCUGGGCCGUUACUGACGCUGAGGAGCGAAAGCGUGGGGAGCGAACA
rnacentral:rRNA from 1 species